AGGACGAACGCUGGCGGCGUGCUUAACACAUGCAAGUCGAGCGGAAAGGCCCCUUUGGGGGUACUCGAGCGGCGAACGGGUGAGUAACACGUGAGUAACCUGCCCUGGACUUUGGGAUAACCCUCGGAAACGGGGGCUAAUACCGGAUAUGACACGCUCUCGCAUGGGAUGUGUGUGGAAAGUUUUUCGGUCUGGGAUGGGCUCGCGGCCUAUCAGCUUGUUGGUGGGGUGAUGGCCUACCAAGGCGACGACGGGUA
rnacentral:rRNA from 1 species